rnacentral:lncRNA from 1 species
CAUUGGAACCGGAGAAGUCCACAUGCACUUCCCCUCUGAGAAGGUACGCCGCUAUUUUACUAACCCUAACUAUAUAGUUAAAGACCCUAAGCAGGUCAGGACAAGAAGAAGAAGACGCAACUGCAACCAGAGGAGGCAAAUCAUCAAGGACGGAUGGGCAGACUACGAAGGAGACGUAGUAAGGUUUGAAGACAUACAACUUGAACAAAACUGUCCUGAGGAGACCGUAGCACCGAGUCAGGUGUGCAGAGAGAAGAUAGUUAUACACGAAGAGGAGGCACCGCCGGAACCACCGACUACGCCAUCUAGCAAAUCCCA